AGGAUCAUUACCGAGUGCGGGUCCUUUGGGCCCAACCUCCCAUCCGUGUCUAUUGUACCCUGUUGCUUCGGCGGGCCCGCCGCUUGUCGGCCGCCGGGGGGGCGCCUCUGCCCCCCGGGCCCGUGCCCGCCGGAGACCCCAACACGAACACUGUCUGAAAGCGUGCAGUCUGAGUUGAUUGAAUGCAAUCAGUUAAAACUUUCAACAAUGGAUCUCUUGGUUCCGGCAUCGAUGAAGAACGCAGCGAAAUGCGAUAACUAAUGUGAAUUGCAGAAUUCAGUGAAUCAUCGAGUCUUUGAACGCACAUUGCGCCCCCUGGUAUUCCGGGGGGCAUGCCUGUCCGAGCGUCAUUGCUGCCCUCAAGCCCGGCUUGUGUGUUGGGUCGCCGUCCCCCUCUCCGGGGGGACGGGCCCGAAAGGCAGCGGCGGCACCGCGUCCGAUCCUCGAGCGUAUGGGGCUUUGUCACAUGCUCUGUAGGAUUGGCCGGCGCCUGCCGACGUUUUCCAACCAUUCUUUCCAGGUUGACCUCGGAUCAGGUAGGGAUACCCGCUGAACUUAAGCAUAUCA
rnacentral:rRNA from 1 species